rnacentral:misc_RNA from 1 species
AGAAGUAAAAGUCGUAACAAGGUUUCCGUAGGUGAACCUGCGGAAGGAUCAUUACCGAGUGUCGGGCCCUCCUGGGCCCACCCUCCCACCCGUGUCUACCGUCCCUUGUUGCUUCGGCGGGCCCGCCCUCUGGGGCGGCCGGGGGGCCCUCGCGCCCCCGGGUUCGCGCCCGCCGGAGACGUCCACGCGAACACUGUGUGAAGGUUGCCGUCUGAGUGGAUUUAUCCAAUCGUUAAAACUUUCAACAACGGAUCUCUUGGUUCCG